GAUGUGCAGCCUUAGCUGGUUGAAACCGGGUCAAAUUUUCGACUGCUAUUUGGUCCCCUUCAACCAGCUGUCGUUGACAUUGCAA
rnacentral:pre_miRNA from 14 species